rnacentral:lncRNA from 1 species
UGUUUGUUUAUUAACAAACAUUAUUUUGUUUUAAAUUUAAUUAAUUUAACAAAUUGUACCUGCUCGAAGUGCAAGACAAGUACACGGUAAUCCCCGAUACAGAUAUCGUGUACAACAGGUAACACCGUCUCCGGCUGACAUACAAACAGCACACAGACACUACACAUAAAUCUCUAGGCCACCUUCAUCAGACACAGUGUUUGGAAUGAUUGAUGCGUGGAUUGAAAUAUAAAUGAACAGAAUUGACGCCGUUAUGCUUGGCAAAUUUUUUGCUGCAAACGCCGAUUUUUGUUCGUCAGAAUUCCGAAAUGUUAAAACUUCUCUGUCAUCACGAGCUUCAUACGGAGAUGAUGCUGUAAGCUAUGUGCAGCUUAAGCGCGAUGGCAAAUUAUGUAUUAUAAAGUGCAAAAUAUGUCCCGAGCACAAAGUUCAUGCGAAACUGUAUAGAUGCACAGUGUCGUUGAUGAGGAAGAUGAGACUGUUCUUUCUGUGCAGUGUGAAGACUGCGUAGCUUCACAGGGCGGUUGUAAGCAUGCAAUAGCAUUUUUAAUGUGGGUUCAUCGCCGAAGCGAAGAGUCCUAAUGCACAUCUGUUGAAUGCUACUGGAAAAAAAAUUAUCAAGAGUUGGUAAUACCAUAAAAUAUAUGACGGCCAAAGAUUUGUAUCUAAGGGCAGCCUUCUCAUACUGUCAAACUCAUCUGUUUUGAAGUUUUUAGAAGAAGGAAAGAACAGGAAAAUUGAGGAUUGUGAACUCCUUAAGUUUCAAUACAUCAGUUUGUGUGGAAGUUUAAAGAGAAAUGUGUAGAUAAUUUCUUAAAAAUGUAAAGAUAUCUGCAUUUUUAAUAAAAAAAAAGUUGAAGAGGAAACAAGGGAACAAUCCAAUAGCUCUCUUUGGCAUGAGCUGUGGUAUGGACGAAUAACCGCAUCAAGAGCAUUUGAGCUUAGCGGCUGUAAAAAGAAUGAUGGUACACUUGUGUCUCUAAUAUUAGGGGCAGAAAUACCUGAUAUUCCAUCAAUGAGACGUGGACGUAUCUUAGAAGCUCAAGUAGGGAAGACUGUGGAGGUAAAUCUGAAAAAAAAAUUACUAAGUGCUAACUAAUAUUAAAUGCAGAUUACCUGAUGAUUGCUGGUUCCCCAGAUGACAUAUUGAAAGAUGGCUUAAUUGGAAUUAAAUGCCCUAAUAAUAAUAAUAAUAAAUAAUAAACUUUAUUUUCCUUAAACAAAGCCAAUGGUACAAUAUAACUAUGACCCCACACUAAGCAAAGCCUGUCUUGUGGAAGUCAAAACUUGCAAUUUAACAAUUAUGGUGCAGCGAACAGGGUUAAUUUAAAUAUGUGAUAGUGUAAAAACUUAUAAAAAUUACAAUAAAAAUGGUGAAGCCACACAAAAGUAUUAUACUCAAAUGCAAAUAUAAAUGUAUUUAACUGGAACGAGAAAUUGUUUCUUUUGUGUGGCUGAUCCUGAUUAUAGCCAAAAUAAAGUGGUUGAGGUAUUAAUGGUUCAAUAUGAUCCAAAAUAUAUUGAAAAUAGAAUCAAAGAUUUGUUGGAUUUUUCGAAAAACACUAUAUAACAGUGUAGAACUAAAAUAAAAAUACAAAUAAUAUAAAAUUGUUUUAUUUUAUUAAUGAAUCUUAGAUAGGUAUAUAUAUAGGUAGAUGCAGAUGGUACAUAUAAAGAAACAUCACUAUCAGACUGCUCUGCAUUGAUAUAUAUAUUG